ACACACAUCACGUGAUCCACACUAAGAUUACUAUCGAGUGCUUUAUUGCCCCGAUACGGUGGGAAACGUCAGUCACGUGACGCCGUGUUUACUGCAGGUACUUGGGUAGGUAAACCACGGUACUAACGCUGUCAGUUGAUACACCAUUCUACCCCGUCAGUUGGUACACCAUUCUACCCCGUCAGUUGGUACAUCACGGUACCCCGUCGGUGGUACACCACACUUCACUUACAAUCAGCUGACUAGCUGGACCUAAGGGGACAUUACUAUAAUCUAGUCGACUAUACAUUUAAAAUACUCAUUGAUAGUUUACUGUGAGGUGUGUAGAGUGUUUUUAUCUAUAGCGACGUAGUUCACCGAGAUUUACCUGUGGUGACGUAGAUCACCCUCCGUUUAUUACUGUAUUUAAACAACAUCCAGCCCAGUUGAACUAGUCACAGAAC